AGCUCGAUGCUGAAGGAAUCUAUCCCACUAAAAAAGAGAAAUGCUUUGUGACCAGACUCAGACUCGCUACAGCUGCGUAGCGUAAAGCGAGACUUGGAGUAUGAUGCAAACAAGACCCACCAGUCACAAUGAAAUGGGGAGGAUACUAUUUCACUUCCGCGUAUGAACGGCACUGUGCCUUUAAGAGGCAGAUAUCCGCAGUGUUUUUGAAAAAUCGAUGGACACAUGAGAAUACAUACGAGGGACAGCUAAUGAUAAAUGGAGAAAGCUCCUCGUUACCAACAGUGUUGCAUCAUUAGUUCAAGGAGAACAGGAGCUUCCCACCCCCCCCCCCCCCCCCCACACACACACUGCCAACGACUGUCCCUAGCCACUGAUGAGAAUACAGCACUGGACGGUGGCUCUCUCCAGUGGGAUUCUCUCUCUCUCUCUCUCUCUCUCUCUCUGUGACAGCCCCUGUUCUGGGAGCGCAUCUGUGGGGCGGAUGGCCCGAGCCUGCAGGGAGCUGACAACCAGCUGCUAGCCUCAUCGCCGGGCAGGCUGGACCAGCAGGCUGCCAGGCUGUGACUCCAUUCCACUCCACUCUCCGCCGGGGAAACACACCAGCCCACAAACACACCACACCAGAGCACAUCCCAUCCGACCAGAAAGACGUCUUUAUUGGCCGAGCUGAAGAGGAUGCUUUGUUCCUGCGCGCUGACCACAAAUCAGACUAGAGCAGACCACAGGCAAGGCCUCUAUGUGGCUUAAUGUACAGCCUGUUUUGCUGUCAGCAUUACUGGAGCAUAGAGAGUGACAAAGCAGUCCCAUUCCAGAUGUAUGCCCUUGUAUCUGGUCCUGGAUAUCAAAAUACGAUUCAGCAGCUCCCCCGCAGCAAGCUGAGAUCUACCAAACACGGAGGUCCGUCUGGCCCAUCCAAAGGGCUUACGGUGGCAUUAGGGAAGAACACGGCAGUCUGGGCCAAGCCCUGGGCACUCUGUCAACUCUGCAUAAAGGGUACAGCAUGGAGUGAGUCAUCAAGGCGCCAGGUUUCACAGAGCAGCGCAGGUUUCUGGAGCCACGUUAGGCAGGAGGGUGGUCACUAAUCAGUUGGAUUGCCCUGGAGGAUAACAACACUGUUGUUGACAUGGACAGAGGUACUUGUGUCCGUGAGCCUUAAAUCCCCAA